GAUGAACGCUAGCUACAGGCUUAACACAUGCAAGUCGAGGGGCAGCACAGUGUAGCAAUACACGGGUGGCGACCGGCGCACGGGUGCGUAACGCGUAUCCAACCUUCCCGUUACUCAGGGAUAGCCUUCCGAAAGGGAGAUUAAUACCUGAUGGUGUUCAAAUUUCGCAUGUUAUUUGAACUAAAGAUUUAUCGGUAACGGAUGGGGAUGCGUGACAUUAGGUAGAUGGCGGGGUAACGGCCCACCAUGCCUACGAUGUCUAGGGGUUCUGAGAGGAAGGUCCCCCACACUGGAACUGAGACACGGUCCAGACUCCUACGGGAGGCAGCAGUGAGGAAUAUUGGUCAAUGGCCGGAAGGCUGAACCAGCCAAGUAGCGUGAAGGAUGAAGGUUCUAUGGAUUGUAAACUUCUUUUAUACGGGAAUAAAACCUCCCACGUGUGGGAGCUUGUAUGUACCGUAUGAAUAAGCAUCGGCUAACUCCGUG
rnacentral:rRNA from 1 species